rnacentral:rRNA from 1 species
CGUGUAGGCGGUCUUAUCGGUCAGAUGUGAAAGCCCAGGGCUCAACCCUGGACGUGCAUUUGAAACAGUAAGACUUGAGUACUGGAGAGGAAAGCGGAAUUCCUGGUGUAGAGGUGAAAUUCGUAGAUAUCAGGAGGAACACCGAUGGCGAAGGCAGCUUUCUGGACAGAAACUGACGCUGAUGCGCGAAGGCGUGGGUAGCGAACAGGAUUAGAUACCCUGGUAGUCC